AUGUCCGGCCUUGGUGAGUUGUAUCACUUCCUCAGCAUUAAUGUCACCCCCAACACCUCCGGGUUGUUCUUGAGUCAGCAACAGUACAGUCUCGAGGUCCUCGACCGCGCCAACAUGCUCAAUUGCAAAUCUGUUUCCACACCCAUAGACACAACUGCCAAACUUUCCGCUACCGACGGCCGUCUUCUUUCCAACCCCACUACAUACCGGAGUCUUGCUGGAGCAUUGCAAUACCUCACCCUUACCCGACCAGACAUCUCCUGCGCGGUGCAACAAAUUUGCCUCUUCAUGCAUCAACCACGGGACAGUCACAUGCAGCUCAUCAAGUGUGUCCUUCGCUAUCUUCGGGGCAUCACUCACUUCGGCCUUCAACUCUUCAAGUCUGCCUCACUUGAUCUCGUGUCUUACACGUAUGCCGAUUGGGCCGGCUGCCAUGAUACACAUAAAUCCACGUCGGGGUUCUGUGUUUUAUUGGGCAACAGUCUGAUCUCUCGGUCGUCCAAACAAUAA
rnacentral:rRNA from 1 species